AAUCAACGCUGGCGGCGUGCCUAACACAUGCAAGUCGAACGCGAAAGUCCCGCAAGGGGCAAGUAGAGUGGCAAACGGGUGAGUAACACGUGGGUGACCUGCCUUCGAGUGGGGGAUAACGUCCCGAAAGGGACGCUAAUACCGCAUAACAUCCUGCCUUUGAAGAGGCGGACAUCAAAGCUGGGGACCGCAAGGCCUGGCGCUUGAAGAGGGGCCCGCGCCUGAUUAGCUAGNGGUGGGGUAAUGGCUCACCAAGGCAUCGAUCAGUAUCCGGCCUGAGAGGGCGGACGGACACACCGGGACUGAGACACGGCCCAGACUCCUACGGGAGGCAGCAGUGGGGAAUUGUUCGCAAUGGGCGCAAGCCUGACGACGCAACGCCGCGUGGGGGACGAAGACC
rnacentral:rRNA from 1 species